rnacentral:antisense_RNA from 1 species
UGGGAACUCACCCAGCGCAUCCGACUGCACGGACAAUGCUGAGGAGACCCCCCUGACCCAAAGGAAAUAGACUGCAGCACUGAUUGGAUGACUCUGGAAUGAAAAAAAGUAGUUUUCCUUUAUAAUGCGGCUUGGCCCCCAGGGCGAUGGUGCCACAAGCCAGAUCACUGGGACUCAGAGAAAGGGAACACAGAAGCCUGGCAUGCCAGCAAAAGGCAGGGUCUUUGUGACCAGUAUCUUGCGCCAAACUCCUGUCUCAUCCUGUGACUUAGAAUGCCUAACUUCCUGGGAAUGCAGCACAGGUCUCAGCCUCAUUUUCCCCAGCCCCUAUUCAAGAUGGAUUUGCUCUGGUUCAAAUGCUUCUGACAACAUUCCUCAUGGUGAAUGCUGGAUUUUGCAUGCCCGAGGCCCUGGGCCACACUGUAUGUUUGGUUUUUGCACGGGCUGUAUGGCUAUGACUAGUCAUGUGGACCCUGCAUUCCUAUGUAAAUGACCCUCCAUAAAAACCCCAGAAAUGAAUGCUUGAGUGAACUUCCCUGGCUUGUAUUAUAAUACCGUGAACAUCUUGUCACACAUCUUUGCUGGGGGAAUUAAGUGUGUCCCUAUGUGACUGUAAUGGGAGAUAACACCCAGAGUUUUGUGCCUGCUUUCAUGUGGACUUCAUUCUAUGUGAUUUUUCCCUUUGGUCAUCUUGGUCUAUAUCCUUUUA